UGGGGAAUUUUGGACAAUGGGCGAAAGCCUGAUCCAGCAAUGCCGCGUGUGUGAAGAAGGCCUUCGGGUUGUAAAGCACUUUUGUCCGGAAAGAAAUCCUUGGCUCUAAUACAGUCGGGGGAUGACGGUACCGGAAGAAUAAGCACCGGCUAACUACGUGCCAGCAGCCGCGGUAAUACGUAGGGUGCAAGCGUUAAUCGGAAUUACUGGGCGUAAAGCGUGCGCAGGCGGUUUGCUAAGACCGAUGUGAAAUCCCCGGGCUCAACCUGGGAACUGCAUUGGUGACUGGCAGGCUAGAGUAUGGCAGAGGGGGGUAGAAUUCCACGUGUAGCAGUGAAAUGCGUAGAGAUGUGGAGGAAUACCGAUGGCGAAGGCAGCCCCCUGGGCCAAUACUGACGCUCAUGCACGAAAGCGUGGGGAGCAAACAGGAUUAGAUACCCUGGUAGUCCACGCCCUAAAACGAUGUCAACUAGUUGUUGGGGAUUCAUUUCCUUAGUAACGUAGCUAACGCGUGAAGUUGACCGCCUGGGGAGUACGGUCGCAAGAUUAAAAACUUAAAGGAAUUGACGGGGUCAUAGCUGUUUCCU
rnacentral:rRNA from 1 species